CAGUCGCCGCGGUAAUACGAGGGGGGCAAGCGUUGUUCGGAUUUACUGGGCGUAAAGGGUGCGUAGGCGGUUUGGCAAGUCUUGUGUGAAAUCUUCGGGCUCAACCCGAAGCCUGCACGAGAAACUACCGGGCUUGAGUAUUGGAGAGGUGAGUGGAAUUUCCGGUGUAGCGGUGAAAUGCGUAGAUAUCGGAAGGAACACCUGUAGCGAAAGCGGCUCACUGGACAAUAACUGACGCUGAUGCGCGAAAGCUAGGGGAGCAAACAGGAUUAGAUACCCCGGUAGUCCCUGUCUCUUAUAC
rnacentral:rRNA from 1 species